rnacentral:rRNA from 1 species
GACGAACGCUGGCGGCGUGCUUAACACAUGCAAGUCGAACGAAAAGACGGAAAGAGCUUGCUCUUUUCAGAAUUGAGUGGCAAACGGGUGAGUAACACGUAAACAACCUGCCUUCAGGACGGGGACAACAGACGGAAACGACUGCUAAUACCGAAUAAGUUCCAAGGGCCGCAUGGCCCAUGGAAGAAAAGGUGGCCUCUACCUGUAAGCUAUCGCCUGAAGAGGGGUUUGCGUCUGAUUAGCUGGUUGGAGGGGUAACGGCCCACCAAGGCGACGAUCAGUAGCCGGUCUGAGAGGAUGAACGGCCACACUGGAACUGAGACACGGUCCAGACUCCUACGGGAGGCAGCAGUGGGGAAUCUUCCGCAAUGGGCGAAAGCCUGACGGAGCAACGCCGCGUGAGUGAUGACGGCCUUCGGGUUGUAAAACUCUGUGAUCCGGGACGAAAAGGCAGAGUGCGAAGAACAAACUGCAUUGACGGUACCGGAAAAGCAAGCCACGC